GAGUUUGAACCUGGCUCAGGAUGAACGCUGGCGGCGUGCCUAAUACAUGCAAGUCGAGCGAACCACUUCGGUGGUGAGCGGCGAACGGGUGAGUAACACGUAGGUGAUCUGCCCAUCAGACGGGGACAACGAUUGGAAACGAUCGCUAAUACCGGAUAGGACGAAAGUUUAAAGGUGCUUCUGGCACCGCUGAUGGAUGAGCCUGCGGCGCAUUAGCUAGUUGGUAGGGUAAAGGCCUACCAAGGCGACGAUGCGUAGCCGACCUGAGAGGGUGAACGGCCACACUGGGACUGAGACACGGCCCAGACUCCUACGGGAGGCAGCAGUAGGGAAUCUUCGGCAAUGGGCGAAAGCCUGACCGAGCAACGCCGCGUGAAUGAUGAAGGCCUUCGGGUUGUAAAAUUCUGUUAUAAGGGAAGAACGACUUUAGUAGGAAAUGGCUAGAGUGUGACGAUACCUUAUGAGAAAGCCACGGCUAACUACGUGCCAGCAGCCGCGGUAAUACGUAGGUGGCGAGCGUUAUCCGGAAUUAUUGGGCGUAAAGAGCGCGCAGGUGGUUGAUUAAGUCUGAUGUGAAAGCCCACGGCUUAACCGUGGAGGGUCAUUGGAAACUGGUCGACUUGAGUGCAGAAGAGGGAAGUGGAAUUCCAUGUGUAGCGGUGAAAUGCGUAGAGAUAUGGAGGA
rnacentral:rRNA from 1 species